ensembl:antisense Macrod2os2 MACRO domain containing 2, opposite strand 2
AUGCUGUUCCAUUCAGUAUGGUCAUGUUCCUGCCUUCAGAAUGGAAAAAGAGAUGUUGAUGAAUACAGAGGGUUUGACCAUCUAAUUGUCCUCUUCUAUACCCUGAUGUUUUAUUACACACAGGCUCAAAGAAUCAAAGCAAACAACACAUGUCCCCCACCUCCUCAAUUGACAACCAGCAUUUUAGUAUUUUUGUUUUAUGCAAGUAUAUCAUCUGCCCGUUUGCCUAUUCAUUUGCCUACUUUUAAUCAGUUUCAAAGUUGCAUGCCUGAGAACAGUUCAGCCCUGAGAUGUUUCCAGGGACCACAAGAUGAAGAGAUCUUCUCUGAUUCACAAAUGAGUAAUAAGAGGGGGCAGAAUUCAGAGCAACUUAGGUUAUACAGAUAA